GUCUACGGCCAUAUCACGUUGAAAACACCGGU
rnacentral:rRNA from 1 species